UAGGCGCUUUUGAAGCCCACAAGACAAGGGCCAAUCAGCAAGUGGGCUGGCUUCCCUAAGAAAAUCCAGAAGAGUUGUUAGUCUAGGUUGAGUAUGCAAAGCUGGGGUGGUUCUAUUAAAAAAAAAAAGCAGGGGAGCCAACAUCUCACGUUAUGUUGGGUUCAAUAACCACGAACCGAACCAUCACUUGAGAAGCUUAUUGUUUACAUAGCAGGAUACCAUCAGUUGUAAUGAUGGAAGCCUACGUGAGAGAAGUUUUGAGUAUGAACCAUAUGGAGGUGAAACAUCAAAUCUAGAAUUUGUGGGCUG
rnacentral:lncRNA from 1 species